ensembl:snoRNA SNORD14 Small nucleolar RNA SNORD14
UCGCUGUGAUGAAGUUGAUUCCUGCCAUUCGUAGUUUCCACCAGAGGUCGAAAGACCAGAGACGGCACAAGUUCCUUCCUUGGAUGUCUGAGCGA